UGGGUUCGGUCGAACCCGGUCCCAAUACUCUACCUCCGCCACGGACUGAAAUGACUGAAAAUAUAAUACUAAUAAUAACCAUGUAAAAGUAGGCAAGCAUGUUCACAUGAAAGAGUAUUUUAGGGAAUAAACGAAAAUAUCAUAGUUUUUUGGUCAAUUCACAUUGACCGCAAGCUCCUCUAUUCUCCCUAUUAAGCUUAGCAUGAGCCCAACAUGUUCGGUAUUUUGGUAUAGUUCUUCAAUUGUGCUGGUACCAAUAGAAAUAGUUUUACAUAUUGAAAAUGAAAAUAAGUAACCACAAGAAACAGAGUUCCAUGUACAACAUAGGCAUAAUAAGGUAUUUUCAGUAUGAUAUCUGCAAAAUAAAACAUAAAAACACUGUAUGCUCUAGUGUUAUUUCAAUCAACCGUAAUCAACAAUGCCAUUGACUUGGCCUUGGUUGUAAUACAUCUAGAUGCAGCUAAUCUCACAACAAUAUGUGAAUCAACACAUAUGAAGACACAUGGAAGAGGAGGGAGGGCUUCCAGUCCUAGUCUUUCAUCUUAGUAUUGGUGCAAUGGAUUGGACCAGCUGCACUUAGAAGGAAAAAGAGCAAGAAUACAGAGACAAUGUUUAAGUCUAAGUCAGGGCGUCAAGGGAAGCAAGAGAGCAUCCAUCUGAAAUAGAGCACUAAAACUAAUUACCUUCCCGCUAUAACGGAUGGCAAACUAUAACAGUCAUAUACAAAACUGAUGAAUAUGUGUAUUCAUGCGUUAUGUUGCUAAACUUGCCAUUCUAUUUUCGAUGAAGAAAACUUGUUAUUCUUCCCAGAGAAAACAAAUGUAUAUGUAUUUGUUAUCCUAUUCAUUUUUCUUGCAGUUUCUUCCCUUUCAGGAACACAAUCCUAGCAAUAUCAGCUUAGCGACUAAUACUUUAAAGCUACCUCAGUAAGCAAGUGACUAAGCAAGCCACCAUUUUAGCAAUAGAGAAUGGUUAAAUAGAGGAAAAUAAAAUGUCUUAUGCAACAAAAGCACUGAAGAGAUCAUGAUUGUCUUCCAGCUGAUAAUUGCAUGCGCAUCAUACCUCCUCUGGUUAAACAAAUAUGCCUAUAAGUGUACGGUAACACAAAUACUGUUAAUACAUCUUCGAGUGGCAAACAACAACCUAAUAACUUAAAGAUAAAAAAAAAUUAAGGGAAAACAGUUAGGUGCUAAAUUUUAUCACGCAUCUCCUGUAACAUUUUCACUGAAAACUGAUGCUAUAAUAGUAACAUACCCAAAUGAGAAUAGUCAAAUAAUUAAAAUCAAGCAUCGACUUAACAAACAAAAGAAAAAUGAGGUAUUUUAAAGGAAAUUGAAGGAAAUACACAUCCUGAAAGGUCUAUACUCUGAGGCCAUAGUUCCAACAUGUUGUGGUAUAUGAUCAUCAUUCAUAAAACAUCAUUUCAUUCAAUGAUCUGGAAAGGCUUAGAAUAUUCAUUUCCAAAACUUUGGUUGCGUCUUCAAGAUGAAGGCUCAAUAAUAAAAGGAACCGACAUGAACAACAACUGUUAAUGUGGCAUUGCAGCCAAAGAAUAGUAAUUGCAUCAAAAUGUGCUUUUUCUCCUUUAAAAUAUGUGAUUUCUCAUAUUUCUUGUCUUUUUUAUUUAUCAGUUGUGCUUCUCUUAUUGGUCUUCUUCCACUAAUAGUUUCAGAACAAUAAUUCUAACAAUCAUUAGUUCACUUGUAUCAUCAUGGCGCACUCCACUUCCAGACAUAUCAUAUGAAGUUUAUCUUUAAUCCUCUCUUUUAUACUAUUUAGGCAGUUUAGAUAAAGGCCCUAGUUGCUAAUAAGAUCGGGUAUAUUAACUGUACUAUUUUGUCAGAGUUGAACCAUUUUCCAAGUAACAUAUACGUGCAGGUGAGUGUGCCCAUAUAUGAGAGGCAUGGAAGAUUAAAGAUGGUAGAAUUUCUUAUAGAAAUUCAGAAAGAAGUAGUACCAAGAUAACCUUUCUUAGGUAUUGGCAAUUCAUAAGGGCAUAUAUUCAAAUGUGCAUCACAUAAUCGGUAAAAUUUAAGACUUCACUAUUUUAUACAGUACAAAUUAUCCAUUGUCGCAUACAGAUUAAACGGUUCAAUCAUGACAAACAAACACCGUGAGGAUUCCUAGGGUGUUGCUCUUCCUAUAAGUUGGAGAAUUGAUUUUCAACUAACCUUGAGUAUUCCUGUCUAUAUACAGUAGAGAUUAAUAGAUUAUUGAAACUUCACUGCUGAAACUGAACAUCACUGCAAAGCUUAGCUAUAAGCUUAUUUCCACAACAAUUUGGACCAAAAUUGUUGCACUACAUGUUAAAAGCUAGACAUGACUCAAUACCAUACCAUAAUCAAAAGUAUAACGGCCCGAGCGACCAGACUUAACAUAAAUGUAGCCACUGGAGCCAUUCUAAAAAGGGAGAAAUUAGCACUACUUGGUGAAAUAGGUUCUUUUAGAAUCAAUUUCAAACCAUCUGCUAGAGGUUGUAACAAUCCAAACGAUCCCACUACAUCAGGACCCUUUCGACAUUGCACAAAAGCCAUUACUUUACGUUCAGCUAGCACUAAAAAAGCUACUCCUAGUAGAAGUGGUAGAAUUAUUCCAAGUAUUUCAGCUGGAACAGCUAUGUAUUAUGGAAUCGCUUACUAUUUCUGAAUUUCAAAAAAGAGAUAAAAAUAGCCGGGGAUAUUAUGUGAUUUAUUAGUAUUCUAAAUCUUAGUUGGUAUUCAAAAUAUCCGAUUCAAGUAGACAAAGAGAUGGUUGAAUCGAAAAAUUUUGUUUAGUUCAAUUUUUUCAGAGGGCAAGGCAAUAUGAAUGUUCUAUCAUGUUCCAUCAAUACUCUAAAGGGGUUAUAAAUUGAUCAUCAUUUGAAGUCUACCAAAUAGAAACUUCUGGAACUACCUUAUUGUUGAACAUGCCAUAAAAAACUACUACGUAAUAUUAUAAGUAACUUAGAAGAAGGUCGCAAGGGUUCGGUUGUUCGCCACAAAAAGAAAGAGCGCAGAGCCCCGACAUGUUCUUUAAUACAAUAGCUUUACCAAUCAGCAUUUUCCCCUUUUCCCGUGUGUUUUUCUCUCUUCUCUUCACUUCUCUUCCCUCGUCCAAUUUCCCAAGCCCCAAUCCAAAUCAACUCCAGAAAACCAGUGAAAUAUGUCAAAGAUUAUUUCAAUUUGUUCUCAAACUCCACCAUUGUUCCUUAUUUAGCAACGUAAGGAGAAACUCAAAUAUAUAUUCAGAAUUGCAAUAUAGAAGCAAUUACACAAUGGAAUAAUUCAUUCAGGCAAAUGAGCAAACAGAUUAUGGCCAUGUCUCUGCACUAUCCUACUUAAGCAAGAGAGCUCAUGUUCUCCCAGAUUUUCGGAUAAAAAGAAGCAACAAUAAUUCCAGAACACGGGAAAAGGAAAAGAAAAAACUGGAAAAAUAAAACUCACCUAUAGCGAAAAUCGGACAGAUGAAAGGAAAGUGAGGAAGAAGAUUGAAAUUAGCCAGAAGAGCCGACAGUAAAUAAACCUGUGGUGUCUGCCACGUUUUACCAAUCCUCAUGUGCCGCUCUCUGAAGAACAUAUCCGCUUGGACAACGGGAAGCUCUUCAACCGACCCUGAGGACAAAUACGGAAUUGUUGGAGUAUUAUUGGUUUUUCCGUCAAUGCACAUGAACCGGAAGCUCCUCUCGAUUCCCCCUUAUUAAUAGUAGUAAUAUUUUUGACUCUUAGCACAUGGUCUGUAUUGAAAUAGAUUUAUUUUGGACAUUUUCUUCUUUCCUAGUCUUUCUUAAGUUCUUAUGCAUUUAUAGGGCUGUUCACGAAAAUCGAAC
rnacentral:lncRNA from 1 species